rnacentral:rRNA from 1 species
AUUGGCGUCGUUGAUGCGGGCUGGAUCUCUCGGGGUUACAGCCUUGCUGAAUUAUUCACCCUUGUCUUUUGCGUACUUCUUGUUUCCUUGGUGGGUUCGCCCACCACUAGGACAAACAUAAACCUUUUGUAAUUGCAAUCAGCGUCAGUAACAAAUUAAUAAUUACAACUUUCAACAACGGAUCUCUUGGUUCUGGCAUCGAUGAAGAACGCAGCGAAAUGCGAUAAGUAGUGUGAAUUGCAGAAUUCAGUGAAUCAUCGAAUCUUUGAACGCACAUUGCGCCCUUUGGUAUUCCAAAGGGCAUGCCUGUUCGAGCGUCAUUUGUACCCUCAAGCUUUGCUUGGUGUUGGGCGUCUUGUCUCUAGCUUUGCUGGAGACUCGCCUUAAAGUAAUUGGCAGCCGGCCUACUGGUUUCGGAGCGCAGCACAAGUCGCACUCUCUAUCAGCAAAGGUCUAGCAUCCAUUAAGCCUUUUUUCAACUUUUGACCUCGGAUCAGGUAGGGAUACCCGCUGAACUUAAGCAUAUCAAUAAGCCGGAGGAA